AUGAACCCGGGAAGCGGAGCUUGCAGUGAGCUGAGAUUACGCCAGCCUGGGUGACAGAGCGAGACUCCUUCUCAGAAAAAAAAAAGUCAACAUCCAUUUAUGAUAAUAAUGCUUAGCAAUCUAAGAGUAGAAGGGAAUUCUCUUAAUCUGAUAAAGAAUAUCUACCCCAAACCUAGAGCAAACUCACAUUUAAUGGUGAAAACUUAAAAGCUUCUCUGCAACAGGGAACACAGUAGAAUACCUGCUAUCAUCACUUCACCAUUGUACUAGGAAUCCUAGGUAAGUCAAUAAGACAAGAAAAAGAAAUUAAGUCUAAGGGUUGGAAAGGGAUAAAAAUGAAUUAUUCACAAACAGUAUCAGUGUGGAUUUAGAAACUUUUUAAAAGUACAGGCAUACCUCAGAGAUAUUAUGGGUUCAAUUCCAGACCACCACAAUAAAGCAAAUAUUACAAUAAAGUGAGUCACACAAAUUUUUUUGUUUCCCAUUGCAUAUAAAAGUUAUGAUUGGGCAGGAAUGGUGGCUCCACUUUUAAUCCUAGUUCUCUUGCUGUUUCUGCCACAUCAGU
rnacentral:lncRNA from 10 species